rnacentral:rRNA from 1 species
CCUACGGGCGGCAGCAGUGAGGAAUAUUGGUCAAUGGACGAGAGUCUGAACCAGCCAAGUAGCGUGAAGGAAGACUGCUCUAUGGGUUGUAAACUUCUUUUAUAAAGGAAUAAAACGAGGCACGUGUGCCAUUUUGCAUGUACUUUAUGAAUCAGGAGCGGCUAACUCCGUGCCAGCAGCCGCGGUAAUACGGAGGAUCCGAGCGUUACCUGGAUGUAUUGGGUUGAAAGGGAGCGUAGAUGGGUUGUUAAGACGGUUGUGAAAGUUUGCGGCUCAACCGUAAAAGUGCAAUUGAUACUGGCAGUCUUGAGUACAGUUGGGGUAGGCGGAAUUCGUGGUGUAGCGGUGAAAUGCUUAGAUAUCACGAAGAACCCUGAUUGCGAAGGCAGCUUCCUAAACUGUGACUGACAUUGAUGCUCGAAAGUGAGGGUAGCGAACGGGAUUAGAUACCCGAGUAGUC